rnacentral:lncRNA from 1 species
AUUCAGCUGGCCCACUGCUUCCUAUCUUUGUACAGGAAAAGCUAAGUCCAGACAAAGCCCUGAUGAAUAGAGGGCCUGCGCAGAGUGCCCGGGGUGCAGGGCAGCAGGGCAGCCAGUGAACCACUGAGCUCGCACUGUGGCCAGUCCUGUGGGCCCCUGCUGGAUUCUGCUUCUAUGAGGGAGGCAGCAAGGAGUUGGGACUUCACAGGUGAAAGGACUUGCCAGGUUUUGUUAAGGUUUAGCACAAGCUGUGAUGAAUAUCUUCAAGCCUCUGCUUCCUGCUGUGGAAUUGUUGCCAAAGGACACAUUCCCAGAUGGGAUUACUGAGUCAGAGGAAGUGGACAUUGAGUGGCUGUCAACAGACAGGCACUCUCACAGUGCCCAGCUUCCCAUGGGUGGUCAGCCGAAUGCAUUUUGGGAGAAAGCAGGUCUCGUGGAUAAUAUUUCUGAAGAUCAGAGCAGGUUGUGUCGGGUCAACGUUGGCCACGACUGCAGCACGCUCCGGAGGCAGCAGGGGGCACCCUGGAGCUUCGCAUCCUCCCUCAGGCCCGCGGCUUCUGCCCUGGCUCCACCAUCCCCAGGCGUCUCAGGCCUCAGUUUCCUCCUCAUGAGAGGUGGAGCAGUGGUUCCCAAACAUGACAUUGAAAGUGUGAUCCUGGGCCUGACUCUGAAGCUCUUCCAGCAUCCACCUUCCCAAGUGACCAGACUCUUGGGAAGGCAUCACCUCAAGAUCUCUGCACCCUUCCUCCAGAGUCCUGGGGUUAAGCUAAGUUCUGGGAAGGUGCCUGCCUCCCUUGGGCCUCCCUGCUGCGCCUGGCCAUGUGGAAACCCCUGUAGCUCCCUGGCUGUGCAGGAGCAGCCACAGUGUGCCCCUCCCAGGACCACCGUCCCCCUCACUGUCUCUGAGGCACCUGCAUGGACCAGGUCUGGAUUGAGUCUCAUUUCUCUGGAUUCCCACAGCAGCCGGUGGCUGCCUCUCCCACACCUGUCACUCCGUGUCAUGGAAAGCUGUGUGUCUUCCUUCCCACCGAGUCUGAGCCACUCGAGGUCAGGGCCAUGACCGUGAGCUGCACGUCCUCGGCGCCCAGUGUGAACCAUGUACAGUAGAGGCCGACUGACGUCUUGGAGGCAGAA